rnacentral:lncRNA from 1 species
AUGCAACCUGCUGUCAUGUCAUCCUCCCCCCAACUCUGUUUGUUUUGCUGUAAUCUUGAUCUUUUUCCAGAGUGUCCAGAGCGGCUGGUGGCCAUCCGAGACAAACUGCUGCAAUGUGGACUGCUGGAGCGCUGUGUCCCAGUGCUGGCCCGAGAAAUUUCUGAGGAAGAGAUCCUUUUGGCUCACAGUCCGGAGUACCUGGCACUGAUGAAAUCAACUGAAACAAUGAGCAAGGCUGAGCUAAAAUCCCUGUCAGACACAUUUGAUUCAGUUUAUCUACAUCCAAAUUCCUACCACUGUGCCUGCCUCGCUGCUGGAUCUGUCCUGCAAGUCGUGGAGAAAGUCUGGUCUGGGGAGCUCUGUAAUGGGCUUGCUGUGGUCAGGCCACCUGGACACCAUGCUCAGCAUGAUAAGAUGGAUGGCUACUGUAUGUUCAACAAUGUAGGCAUUGCAGCCCAAUAUGCUCGGCAGAAAUUGGGAGUUGACCGGGUGCUUAUUGUUGAUUGGGAUGUGCAUCACGGGCAAGGCACCCAGUACUUAUUUGAAGACAAUCCCAGUGUCUGUUAUUUUUCCAUCCAUCGCUAUGAAGGUGGCAACUUCUGGCCACACCUCCCUGAGUCCGACAGCCAUGCCGUGGGCAGAGGUCGGGGAGAGGGAUACAACAUCAACGUGCCCUGGGACCAGAUAGGAAUGGGGGAUGCAGACUACCUCGCUGCCUUUUUGCAUAUCCUGAUGCCUGUGGCCUUAGAGUUUCAGCCCCAGUUGGUACUGGUUGCUGCUGGCUUUGACUCUGUAAUUGGUGACCCUAAGGGAGAAAUGGCCACCACCCCUGGAUGUUUUGCUCACCUGGCACAUCUGUUGAUGCCCCUGUCUGGAGGCAAGCUGGUUCUGUCUCUUGAGGGUGGGUACAAUCUCCAGUCCUUGGCAGAGGGAACCUGCACAGUCCUCAAGGCUCUUCUUGGAGACCCCUGCCCUCUGCUGGACUCACCCCUUGCACCAUGCAGAAGUGCCCUCCAUUCGGUGUCCCAGACGAUUGCAGCUCAUAGCAAAUUCUGGAAGGCUCUAAGAAGGAUCAUCAGUGUAACUUUGCAACCACUCAGCACCCCAUCUGUAAAUGAGAUCCUGUCUAAGUCAGCAGCUGAACUGAUGAAACCCCUGCCACCUUCACGCACAGGGAUAGUCUAUGAUGAGAAGAUGAUGGAGCAUUACAAUAUGUGGGACAGUCAACACCCAGAGUUGCCUCAGAGAGUCUCCCGGAUCUUCCAGCGCCAUGGGGAGCUACGUCUCACAGAGCGGUGCUGUCGGCUCUCAGCUCGGCUUGCCUCUGAAGAGGAGCUGCGGAUGUGCCAUAGCCUGGCCUAUGUGGAGACAGUGAAGUCAACAGCCACCAUGAAGCCCCGCGACCUGCAUCGCCAGGGUGACCAGUACAAUUCCAUCUUCAUCUGCACCAGCUCCUAUGAAUGUGCCCGGCUGGCGGCUGGUUCCGCCUUCAGCGCCGUUGAAGCUGUGCUCUCUGGGGAGGUUCAAAAUGCUGUGGCCAUUGUCCGACCCCCCGGACACCAUGCUGAAUCGGACACCGCCUGUGGCUUCUGCUUCUUCAACUCUGUGGCCUUGUCUGCUCGAUAUGCACAGCGCCUGACUGGGAGGCCUAUGAGGGUGAUGAUACUGGACUGGGAUGUUCACCAUGGCAAUGGGACCCAGCAUAUGUUUGAAAAUGAUCCCAGUGUCUUGUACAUCUCCAUCCAUCGAUAUGACAAUGGGACUUUCUUCCCCACCUCUGAGGAUGCGGACUAUGACCAGGUGGGCUUGGGGCCUGGCAAGGGCUUCACCCUUAAUGUGCCUUGGAACUGUCCCCGGAUGGGAGACCCCGAAUACCUGGCUGCCUUCCAUCAGAUUGUCAUGCCUGUUGCCUAUGAGUUCAAUCCAGAGCUGGUCCUGGUUUCUGCUGGUUUCGAUGCUGCUCGCGGGGACCCUCUGGGUGGAUGCCUUGUGACCCCCGAAUGUAAGGCACACAUGACCCAUCUUCUCUUGGGCCUGGCAGGACGGAGGCUGAUAGGCGGCUACAACCUAGAGUCCAUAUCGGAGUCCAUGACCAUGUGCACUCGCAGCCUCCUAGGGGAUCCUCCCCCUGCCUUGGGACGCCUCAAGGCUCCUCACCCCAGUGCUCUGCAGUCUUUGGCCUGUGUAGCGUCUGUGCACCGCAAGUAUUGGGCCAGCCUCCGACUGGAAGGUGAGUAUUUUUUCCAGACCAUUAGCCGUUUUGUUUGGUGGCAGGUGAGCCCACCAGACCACCCCACAGUAAAAGUUGAGAUAGAGCUACUGGAUGAAGCCACAGGUGGAUGUUCUUCCUUCUGUGAGACACUUGGAGAUGAUCCAGGGCUGUUCUAUGCUGUCACACCCUUAUCAUGGUGUCCGCACCUUGACUCGGUGUUACCUGUUCCUCCCACUGGCUUGAAUGUGCUGGAGCCUUGUUCAGAAUGCGGCAGCAAGGUGGAGAAUUGGAUCUGCUUGGUUUGCUACAAGGUUUGCUGUGGUCGCUAUAUUAAUCAGCACAUGGUCGCUCACAAUUCAGAAUCGGGGCAUCCGCUGGUGCUCAGCUUUGCAGAUCUCUCUGCCUGGUGCUAUGAGUGCCAAGCCUACGUCCACCACCCGGUGAGUUUGGAGCCAUACAGUAACAGAUACCCAGUCCUAGCCUCAAAAACUUUGAAGUCAGCAGUGAUAUAUUGGUUACCCUUACUGUAG